AGUAACACGUGGGUAAUCUGCCCUAAGGCCUGGAAUAACCAAGGGAAACUUUGGCUAAUACCGGAUAAGACCACGGUACGAAAGUGCCGGGGAAAAGCAGGGGACUUCUUCGGAAGCCUUGCACCAUAGGAUGAGCCCGCGGCCCAUCAGCUAGUUGGCGGGGUAAAGGCCCACCAAGGCUAAGACGGGUAGCUGGUCUGAGAGGAUGACCAGCCACACUGGAACUGAGACACGGUCCAG
rnacentral:rRNA from 1 species